rnacentral:rRNA from 1 species
UACGUAGGGGGCAAGCGUUGUCCGGAAUCAUUGGGCGUAAAGCGCGCGUAGGCGGCCCGGUAAGUCCGCUGUAAAAGUCCAGGGCUCAACCCUGGAAAGCCGGUGGAUACUGUCGGGCUAGAGUCCGGAAGAGGCGAGUGGAAUUCCGGGUGUAGCGGUGGAAUGCGUAGAGAUCCGGAAGAACACCGGUGGCGAAGGCGGCCUGCUGGGCAGUGGCUGACGCUGAGGCGCGACAGCGUGGGGAGCAAACAGG